GGGGUCGUAGUGUAGCUUGGCAGCACUCAAGGCUGGGGGUCUUGCGACCGGGGUUCAAAUCCUCGCGGCCCCA
rnacentral:tRNA from 1 species